rnacentral:rRNA from 1 species
GAGGUCCUACGGGGGGCAGCAGUAGGGAAUCUUCCACAAUGGGCGAAAGCCUGAUGGAGCAACGCCGCGUGGGUGAAGAAGGUCUUCGGAUCGUAAAACCCUGUUGUUAGAGAAGAAAGUGCGUGAGAGUAACUGUUCACGUUUCGACGGUAUCUAACCAGAAAGCCACGGCUAACUACGUGCCAGCAGCCGCGGUAAUACGUAGGUGGCAAUCGUUAUCCGGAUUUAUUGGGCGUAAAGAGAACGCAGGCGGUCUUUUAAGUCUUAUGUGAAAGCC